UUAAUACUAUCAGACAUGCUGUUAUUUUCUUAUCAGUGUGUGUGUGUGUGUGUACAUCUCAUUCUUGAAGCUGCUUUCACACUCACAGAUACAUUUGCUUCACAGCUAACUUCAUAACACCGACUUAAUCAAUUCAUGUCAAUUAUUUCCAAGACAGAACUGGUUGCUGAAUAAAAAAAAAAAAACAAAAACAAAAAAAAACAAAUAAAACAACACGAAAAUAAAAAUAUAAAAAUAAUGGAACAUAAAAUAAAAAAAGUAAAUAAAACAUAAAGCAGGUAGGCUCCAAUGAAAUCCAUUUUAAAAUCCAGUAUGUAAGUGGCAGGAACACAACUGGAACAGUCUGUCUUUUUUUGCAGGGGGGUUUCGGUCUGUAGUCAACUCCUCUAAAUGGAAUCGGUAGAUCAUUCUCUCAACCCAUUAUUUAACAGAUUUACAGCAGCCUUUAUUUCUAUAAUGAAAGAACACACAAACAACGCUUCCUUUACCGUUUAAUUACUUUUCCUAUCAUGGAGAACAAACAAACACAACAAGAGUUGAAAUCCAAAGUCAACUUCCCUGAUUCUUCACUCACAGAAAUAAACAACUCAACGCUCAAUUGUCGGCAGGAGGAAUGAAGGAUAUAUAUAUAUAUAUUUUUUCGCAUCUAUCUUAUUUUAUUCCCCCUCCCCCACCACCAUUAAUCUACUUUCACUUUUGUCAUGGCUCUCUGUCAUCAAUCCAGCUCUGAAGAAGCAAUUGAUCUCAUUGUGGGAGAAAAAAACACUGAGAAUAUUUUGGCCAAACAAAGUUUUAAAUAUUCAAACCAAGGAAGAUUUAUUUUGAACUGAAAUGGUUUUUAAUAUAACAACCAAUAAUAAAUAAAACCACAGCAAUACCAAGAUU